CUUUCUUAAAUAUCUAAACAUCCCUAUCCUCUCUGAUUCUUUUCUUUUCUGGCAGCACCCAUAAACACACGCACACCACGGUCCCUCUCUUUCUCUCAUUCUCGUCGACUGUCUUGCUCAAUUCUGACUUUUCCUUCUUUCUCUUCAUAAUUAUCUUUCUUUCUUAUUCUUCUUCUUCUCUAUUUCUAUAUAUAUAUAUAUAUAUAUAUAUAUAUAUAUAUAUAUAUCUCACCAUCCUUAUCCCCCAUCCACUGUCAUACUCGACACACCCAUUCCUUUUUCUUCAUUUCUUCCAUGCCAACUUCAUCACCAUAUAUCAUGUUCUUCUUUCUCCUUCAAUCAAAGACAAACCACCACCGUCCAUUCUUCUCCUUCUCCUCUCUAUGGCCUCAAAAGGAGCAGCACCCACACGCACCACAUGAGCCACCACCUUCACGUUUUCUUCCUCUCCAUGGCAGCACCUCACCAUCACCACCGCCCCUCCUCCUCACCAUGGCUGUUGUGUCCAGCCAAGAGGCCACCACGAGGAGGCCAGCACCACAAGGAACACGUACAGCCCCAUUCAUCAUAUGGUAUUGUUCAAGCUUCAUCAUCCAUAUCAUGACAAGGAGACACCAUCACCAUGCCACUUUACUUCCUCAUGUGAUGCCGUUGACGGAUUGUUUCGUGAUGCUUCGUCGUACGGGGAAGACCCGGAGCGAAAUGACUACUACUGAGCCUUCGACGUGGACCCGGACUGAAUGCAUGACCAGAUGAGGGUCGAUGAUGGAAGUAUAGGGUAUGGGUGUUUAGAGUCUACUAAGGUUGGGUGUUAGUGUCCUAGCUCUGACUUAUUCUUAUUUUUGAGGGCUUGUGUUGCUGACACUUGACCUUUCUUUUGGUUUGUACUUUUGCCUACGGGCGUUACCUUUUCUUACUUCCCGUCACUGGAGUUUUACUCGUGACGUGGUUUACUACUUACAGCGGGGGCUGUAAUAUAUAUUGUGUAUUAGUUCUGCUAUCUCUCGCAUUUGCGUUUAUUGAUUUUAGUCUUGUUUAUAUUAUCAAAAAAAAAAUAAUCCAUGUUUUUCCGCCUUAAGUUUCUUUUGGUUACUAAAGUGACGCCACCGAAAUCGGGGUGUUACAUUGUGGUAUCAGAGCUUGUCGAGUCUUUCGGGAGUCUUUGGGGAAUAGGUCUUCUGUGCUAGGUUGUGUGACUCUGCAAAGAGUGAAAAUUGAUUGUCUGCAAGCGAUUUUUCGCUUAGAAUUGAUUGAAGUUAUUGCUUAAUCAUAUUGUAUAGCAUGCUAGAUGCUAUCUUAUGAUGAGUACUAACUGUUUGAUUGACUUAACAUAACCUAGAUGUUAUCCUAGGAAUGAAUUAGUUGUCCCACUAUCAUUGUCUUUUGGACUGCAACCGAAUAAGAUGAUAUGUCUGUUGAGACGCCGUCGGUCAACAUUGGGACUAGAAGAGUGAAACAAUCGAAGGGAAAGCAGAGUGCUUUAGUAAGAGUUAUUUGGAACAAAGACACAGACGGUGCCAUAUGGGAGUUAGAGGAAAAGAUCAAGAACAAUAUUCAGAACUUUUACUGACCCUUAAGUUUCGAGGUCGAAACUUUCUUUUUGGAGGGUAGUAAUGUAAGACCCAAGUUUUUAAGCUUAGAAUAAGUGGAAGAGAUUUCCAUUUACGAUUAGGUUUGACGUAUCGUGAAGGGAAAACCUGAACAAGAGUUUAUCGAAUGGAAUAAAUUUGUGAAGGAGAAAGUUCAGGAAAAGUCUAAGGAUUGUAUCAGAAUCGAUAAAAGGUAUAGCACGAUCGAUUCGCUAAAACCUAGGACAAGAACCUUAGGAUAAGACUAUGUUCCACCCUUGGAACACUGUAGGAAUUUAGUCCAAAAAUCUUCAGAGAAAUGUUAGAACUUCUCUUAUUCCAUAUAUCACAAUCGUUUCGAUGCGAAACUCUAGGAUCUACGAACGUCCGAUUCCAAUCAUCGGAAGUUUGCCGAAACUAAAACCCUGAUAGUUCAAGAACCCUAGAAUCAACCGACGAUGAAGACUUUUUCUAUUCGGAACUUCAGAUGAAGAUUCUACACGCGUACACCCAUUUCUCUUGAUGAUUUCAAUCUUUCUUCAGAAGGAAGUUUUCUCUUCCGACAUCCACUGCAAAAAGUAACUUAUCGGGUAAAAUAGUUUUACCCCGACUUUGCGUUAGUCACCUAAAAUACCAGGAAACCUCUUUUGAGUUUUGGAUUUAUGUCGCCAAAACCUAUCUUAGAAUUCACGGAGAAUGAAGCCGGAAAAAUCGGAAUCACUCUUAUAUUUUUAUCUUAACUCUGAGUUAAAUCCUCCGAUAUCUAAACAAAACUGUACCAGUUUACAAAAUAUCUACUCAUUCUUAUCCUAUCUCUGAUAAAUAUCUAUUCAACCUUAUCCGAUCUUUGAUAUAUAUCUACUCAUUUCUUGGUUAAUGGAUCAUUUUAAUUUGCUCAAAGUGAUCAUAAUUUAUAUUUUACUAUUUCAUAAAGUUCCUCAUAAUUUUUAGUAUAGUUAUAUAUCCAUUAGAUAUUUUUCUCUUAACUUUGUGAGCUAAAUUCUUAAGUGUAUAAAUCAAUUUAUACCAGUUUACAAAUAUCUUUCUUAAAUAUCUAAACAUCCCUAUCCUCUCUGAUUCUUUUCUUUUCUGGCAGCACCCAUAAACACACGCACACCACGGUCCCUCUCUUUCUCUCAUUCUCGUCGACUGUCUUGCUCAAUUCUGACUUUUCCUUCUUUCUCUUCAUAAUUAUCUUUCUUUCUUAUUCUUCUUCUUCUCUAUUUCUAUAUAUAUAUAUAUAUAUAUAUAUAUAUAUAUAUAUAUAUAUAUAUAUAUCUCACCAUCCUUAUCCCCCAUCCACUGUCAUACUCGACACACCCAUUCCUUUUUCUUCAUUUCUUCCAUGCCAACUUCAUCACCAUAUAUCAUGUUCUUCUUUCUCCUUCAAUCAAAGACAAACCACCACCGUCCAUUCUUCUCCUUCUCCUCUCUAUGGCCUCAAAAGGAGCAGCACCCACACGCACCACAUGAGCCACCACCUUCACGUUUUCUUCCUCUCCAUGGCAGCACCUCACCAUCACCACCGCCCCUCCUCCUCACCAUGGCUGUUGUGUCCAGCCAAGAGGCCACCACGAGGAGGCCAGCACCACAAGGAACACGUACAGCCCCAUUCAUCAUAUGGUAUUGUUCAAGCUUCAUCAUCCAUAUCAUGACAAGGAGACACCAUCACCAUGCCACUUUACUUCCUCAUGUGGGUACGAAGGACGAAAGCGCCUUGCGGCGAAGCUAAAGAAUAAAAGGAAGCGAGCCGACGUGGAAAACAAAGAUGUGAUUGGAUUGAAGUUGCAGUUUAGGAAAGAAAUUGGCUAAGAUGCCGUUGACGGAUUGUUUCGUGAUGCUUCGUCGUACGGGGAAGACCCGGAGCGAAAUGACUACUACUGAGCCUUCGACGUGGACCCGGACUGAAUGCAUGACCAGAUGAGGGUCGAUGAUGGAAGUAUAGGGUAUGGGUGUUUAGAGUCUACUAAGGUUGGGUGUUAGUGUCCUAGCUCUGACUUAUUCUUAUUUUUGAGGGCUUGUGUUGCUGACACUUGACCUUUCUUUUGGUUUGUACUUUUGCCUACGGGCGUUACCUUUUCUUACUUCCCGUCACUGGAGUUUUACUCGUGACGUGGUUUACUACUUACAGCGGGGGCUGUAAUAUAUAUUGUGUAUUAGUUCUGCUA